UACGAAGAGGGCUAGCGUUGCUCGGAAUCACUGGGCGUAAAGGGUGCGUAGGCGGGUCUUUAAGUCAGGGGUGAAAUCCUGGAGCUCAACUCCAGAACUGCCUUUGAUACUGAAGGUCUUGAGUUCGGGAGAGGUGAGUGGAACUGCGAGUGUAGAGGUGAAAUUCGUAGAUAUUCGCAAGAACACCAGUGGCGAAGGCGGCUCACUGGCCCGAUACUGACGCUGAGGCACGAAAGCGUGGGGAGCAAACAGG
rnacentral:rRNA from 1 species